CCUACGGGAGGCAGCAGUAGGGAAUAUUGCUCAAUGGGGGAAACCCUGAAGCAGCAACGCCGCGUGGAGGAUGAAGGUCUUCGGAUCGUAAACCUCUGUCUGCAGGGAAGAACGGUCACUGUGCUAAUCAGCAGUGAAUUGACGGUACCUGCAAAGGAAGCACCGGCUAACUCCGUGCCAGCAGCCGCGGAAAUACGGAGGGUGCGUGCGUUAAACGGAAUUACUGGGCGUGAAGCGCUCGUGGGCGGUGUGUCAAGUCAAGCGGUAAAUCGCCGCGGCCAACGUGGGGACUGCCGUUGAAACUGGCUAACUGGAGUGGGUGAGAGGAUAGUGGAAUUCGAGGUGUAGGAGUGAAAUCCAUAGAUAUCUGGAGGAACAUCGGUGGCGAAGGCGACAAUCUGGCACCUAACUGACGCUGAGGAGCGAAAGCGUGGGUAGCGAACAGGAUUAGAUACCCGAGUAGUC
rnacentral:rRNA from 1 species